rnacentral:rRNA from 1 species
UACAGAGGUCUCGAGCGUUGUUCGGAUUCAUUGGGCGUAAAGGGUGCGUAGGUGGCGUGGUAAGUCUGGUGUGAAAUCCCGGGGCUCAACCCCCGGAACUGCACUGGAUACUGCCAUGCUUGAGUACUGGAGAGGAGAUUGGAAUUUACGGUGUAGCAGUGAAAUGCGUAGAUAUCGUAAGGAAGACCAGUGGCGAAGGCGGCCAUCUGGGACAACACUGACGCUGAAGCACGAAAGCGUGGGGGAGCAAACAGG